UACGUAGGGGGCAAGCGUUGUCCGGAAUCAUUGGGCGUAAAGAGCGUGUAGGCGGCCCGAUAAGUCCGCUGUGAAAGUCCAGGGCUCAACCCUGGGAUGCCGGUGGAUACUGUCGGGCUCGAGUCCGGAAGAGGAGUGUGGAAUUCCUGGUGUGAGCGGUGAAAUGCGCAGAGUAUCUGGAGGAAUACCGGUGGCGAAGGCGGCAUCCUGGACCGACAUUGACGCUGAACGGCGAAAAGCUAGGGGAGCAAACGGG
rnacentral:rRNA from 1 species